ACUCGCCACACGCUAGCUUCCAUCUCUCCCGGCCUCGCUUCGCCGUAGGUUGACAGGCGACACGAUUCGGGCCUGCGAGGCUAGGCCGUCGGCGGGCAUCUCCCGUCUCUCCGCCGGCCACGGCGCCGUCUCCUCAGCCCUCCUCUCGCCGGCGGCCGCCGACGACCGGCAACACCCUACAGGUUCCCUCCGGCGAAAAUUCCGGUCUGAAUUCCGGCGAGUUGCUCUUGCAUGCCUAGUCUGGCUCGUACGGGUAUUGUCUAGUAUGGCCUCUGUCUCAACUCCAGCACAUAGCUAUUUCCAUAAUGAUCGUAUUUGAUUGGAUCGUACAAUCCGGCUUCGAUUGUGGUCGUCCUGUUGCCUAAUCUCAGAUUGGAUUGAUUUUUCCUGGGAUUGCUUUACGGAUUCUCUCGAUACUAAUAUUCCAUACCGAUCGUGAUUGAUACAUGCGGUUACGUGAGGUUGUAUUGGGCCGAUGACAACUUAUUGCUGGGUUGAAUCUCUACCGUCCGAUAACUUUUGUAAUCGUAGAAUUUCUGCUACUUUAAUUAGAUAUUAGAUACAGAACCCUAGAAACAAGCCUCGGGAGAGAACGGCGCGGCGAAAAUCGAUCGGGGCGCUCCGCAGCUGCGCAGCUCGAUCCUGCAGGCGCUCCGCGCCGGCCUCCGACUCCGCGGCAGCCGGCGCAUCCUCGGGCGACGCCGACGAGUCCUCAGCGGCGUAGCGAGUCCCCGGCAAGUCUGCGGCAGGUCGUGGCUACUCCAACGAGUCCAACUGCCGCCGCUGGUCCUGCCACCUUCUCCUGACCUCGCCACUCGUCAAGUCGUGAGGCUGGAUUUUUCGCCGGAGGUACCAAUCCACUGGACACCCAUUGGAGUAGAUGAACCACCUCCAUCGUGGGAUCCUGUACUGACUCCAAAAUUUGGUAAGUAACUAAUCCUUGUAUGUGAGUUGUGUUGAUCUACACCUGAUUUUUUCUUUUCAGAAAACUGUUAUAUGCUCAUGCUCCUUUAAUCUUGAUCUUGUCUUUCGUAUAAUGAAAAUUAUUGCUUGUUCUACUGUGCAUUUUUUUAUUACUGCUUGCUUGUCUUAUUUUUCAGUACAAUAUGCCUUAUGUUGCUUGUUCUUGUUUGCUUUUACUAUUAGAAUGGAUCUAGAGAAGGUAGAACGGAUUAAAAAACGGAAAGCUGAUGAAGAGGAUGAGUUUAUUUUCCUAAUGUUUCCAGCACUUUACUUGCAUCUUCUGAAUAGUGAAGUCAAAAUGAAAUAAAAUCUGCGGCAUCCAUCUUUUCUAUAUGGCAAGCGGGGAGUCAGGGAAAUUCUUGGUGGGCAUGUUAAGGACAGUUUGGUUGCUUGGAGAAUGAAACCUUACAUUUUUAGAUGGCUAGCAUCCUAUCUUAGAGAUGGAAGACUAAUAACAGAUACUAGGCUCAAGGCGGAAGAAAAAGUAGCUUUCUUUCUCUUCAUGAUAUCUCACAAUGCCUCCUAUGAAGAUCUUCAAUUGGAAUACAAGCAUAGUGGAUGGUUCUUCAGCAAGUACAUCAAGGAAUUCUUUGACAUAAUUCCAUAUAUGUAGGAUAUGUUCAGAAUGACAGCUAGAACAUGGCUCUCUACUUUCUUGACAAAAACAACUAUUGAUUUGACUUAAUCUAGCUAGGAAAGAUACUAGAGAUUUAUGCUCUAAAGUUGACAAGAGCAUAUAUUUUUCAUAUUAGACACUUGCUGCCCCAAGUACAAAACUGAGUUUAGCGAAGCAUCAUGUUAGGCAGCAGCAGAACAGAACUGGAGCUCCCUUGUUCCUAGUUUGUUUAUCUGCUAGCAUUUCCAUGUUGUUUCUAGUCUGAAUCUGGAAUACUAGUGGCUGUAUUCAGUGAGUCAAUUGAUCAAUCCACUGGAUUGACCUUUCUGAAAAUUUCUGCAGCUCUGUGUGGUUUUGUACUCGGUGAGUCAAUUGAUUAGUCCACUGGAAUACUAGUGGUUGUAAUCAGGGAGUUAAUUUGUGUUAACUCUUAGUUAUCUGGAACUCUGAAACUGAACCAGAAUACAGAAAACUGAAAUAGUAGUUAAUUUGCUGUUUCUGCA